GUGGGGAAUCUUGCGCAAUGGGCGAAAGCCUGACGCAGCGACGCCGCGUGAGUGAUGAAGGCCCUCGGGUUGUAAAGCUCUGUGGAGGGGGACGAAUAAGCAUUGGUUAAUAUCCAGUGUGAUGACGGUACCCUUUUAGCAAGCACCGGCUAACUCUGUGCCAGCAGCCGCGGUAAGACAGAGGGUGCAAACGUUGUUCGGAAUUACUGGGCGUAAAGCGCGUGUAGGCUGCUUCGCAAGUCGGAUGUGAAAGCCCUGGGCUCAACCCAGGAAGUGCAUUCGAAACUGCAGAGCUGGAGUCCUGGAGAGGAAGGCGGAAUUCUCGGUGUAGAGGUGAAAUUCGUAGAUAUCGAGAGGAACACCGGUGGCGAAGGCGGCCUUCUGGACAGUGACUGACGCUGAGACGCGAAAGCGUGGGGAGCAAACAGGAUUAGAUACCCCUGUAGUCC
rnacentral:rRNA from 1 species